CAAUAACUUCCUUGCGAAGACAACCUUAGAAAGUUGUGGGUGUGCAUAUAUAUCCAAUCUUACAUAUCUUGAAGAACUAGAUAAGCGAUGAGUACAGCUGCAUAAUCUCCAGUGACAGAGAUGGGAUCGGAUACUUUUGCCAUGAACUGAAAGGCAGAAAUGCCAUUCAUGGAUCAGGAUUUGGCAGAGGGGGAAGGACAGAAGAACAUGCCAUGCUGGAUAAAAUGGAGUCAGGACAUAGUUCCCUCUGUUUCUGAUAAUGUCACUUGGAGGAAUGGAUUUGGAAACAGAACUUUGCAGGGGUGGAACUAUAGGAUCUACUGUUCUGUGGUGUAUCAUCUAUGUCUCACUAUAUCCUGUAGUGUCCCAUGUGUAUGUCCCCCACUUCUCAAUCAAGCAUACCACUGUGCACCUCAGGAGAAAGGCAUGAGCAGGAAGAAACAUUAUAAGCAGAAACGGCAGGAGCGAUGA
rnacentral:lncRNA from 1 species